GGCUUCGGCCUUAGUGGCGCACGGGUGCGUAACGCGUGGGAAUCUGCCCUUGGGUUCGGAAUAACAGUUAGAAAUGACUGCUAAUACCGGAUGAUGUCGUAAGACCAAAGAUUUAUCGCCCAAGGAUGAGCCCGCGUAGGAUUAGCUAGUUGGUGAGGUAAAAGCUCACCAAGGCGACGAUCCUUAGCUGGUCUGAGAGGAUGAUCAGCCACACUGGGACUGAGACACGGCCCAGACUCCUACGGGAGGCAGCAGUGGGGAAUAUUGGACAAUGGGCGAAAGCCUGAUCCAGCAAUGCCGCGUGAGUGAUGAAGGCCUUAGGGUUGUAAAGCUCUUUUACCAGGGAUGA
rnacentral:rRNA from 1 species